UUUUGUCGCGGGCAGUGCAUGCGUAUAAACUGUGCGUAAUAAACAAAACGUGCUCGUUAUUCGCGCUUUAAUUCGCUUUUCAAAUUCGUAGCAAAACAUUAUCGAUUGAAAAUCGAUGUUAAUGUUUCUUGAGCGUAUUUUUCUUGCUACAAUUUAUGUGCUUGUGUUGAAUUAUCCAGUUAAUGAAUAAAAUUUCGCUGUUAAGAACGUUUCAACGUAGUAUCCACACUAUGAAGAAAUCUUCGAGCGGAAGCAGUGGUCCACCGUCCAAAAAAUUGAAAACCGACGAUGCCAAGACCGACGUUAAAAAGAAAUCUCAAGUAGAGGGAGGCCCAAUAAAGGUGGAUGAUUUUGUCGAAAAAUUCAAGGUACAACGAAAAGAAGCCGGCAAAUCUAUUCUGGAUUUCGAUUUCAAGAAAAAACGCAUACGUAUCCUAUCCGAUGCCAAGGAAGUUGCCGAUGGUAAAGAAGGCAUUGUUUAUUGGAUGUCCCGUGAUGCCCGAGUACAGGAUAAUUGGGCUUUUUUAUUUGCACAAAAAUUGGCCCUGAAAAAUGAGCUUCCUUUACACGUGUGUUUCAGUUUGGUACCCAAAUUCUUGGAUGCAACGAUUCGCCAUUUCAAGUUCAUGCUAAAAGGUCUCGAAGAGGUUUCAAAGGAGUGCGAAGCUUUGGAUAUCCAAUUUCACAUGUUGACGGGUCUGGCUAAGGACACAAUCCCUAAGUUUGUCAAGACCCAUAAAAUUGGCGCAGUAGUAUGCGACUUCAGCCCUCUUCGUGUUCCGAUGCAAUGGGUCGAGGAUGUACAAAAAGCUUUACCUGACGAGAUAGCGGUAUGCCAGGUUGAUGCGCAUAACAUUGUUCCGUUAUGGGUCACAUCCGAGAAGUUAGAAUAUGCAGCUCGCACCAUUCGCAAUAAGGUGAACUCCCAGUUGGGAACAUAUUUAACGGAAUUUCCACCAGUAAUUAAGCAUCCACACAAAAGUUCGUUCAAAGCACAACCGAUCAAUUGGACAAAACUGAUCGACACCUUGGAAGUAGACCGAAGUGUGGAUGAAGUCGAAUGGGCAGUCCCUGGCUAUCAGGGAGGCGUUGGGGUUUUACAAAGUUUUGUCGAAAAACGAUUGCGGAAAUUUAAUUCUAAACGUAAUGAUCCCACGGAUGAUGCUUUGUCUAAUCUUUCACCGUGGUUUCACUUUGGCCAGAUAUCCGUGCAACGCUGUAUUCUUGCAGUUAAAAAGUACGGUAAGGGAUAUUCCGAAGGAGUCGCAGCGUUUUGUGAGGAAGCCAUUGUUCGACGUGAGCUUUCGGAUAACUUUUGCUACUACAAUAAGAACUACGAUAGUUUGAAGGGUGCUUACGACUGGGCACAGAAAACAUUGAAUGAUCAUCGUAAGGAUAAGCGAACCUGGCUGUAUACACGAGAGCAACUCGAACAGGCAAAAACGCAUGAUGAUUUGUGGAACUCAGCACAGAUCCAGAUGGUAAAAGAAGGGAAAAUGCACGGGUUCCUCCGAAUGUAUUGGGCGAAAAAGAUCCUUGAAUGGACUGCUUCGCCAGAAGAAGCUCUACAGAUAGCUAUCUACCUCAAUGAUCGUUAUCAGUUGGAUGGGCGCGACCCUAAUGGAUAUGUAGGUUGUAUGUGGUCCAUUGCCGGCAUUCACGAUCAAGGAUGGCGCGAACGGGAAAUUUUCGGCAAAAUUCGCUAUAUGAACUACGAAGGUUGCAAACGCAAAUUCGACGUACCUGCAUUUGUUGCCCGCUAUGGUGGCAAAGUUCAUCGAAAAUAAUUUUUUGCGACCGGUUACCACAAGUAAUUAAAAGCUUUCUUUUGAAAUAUGCAAUGUAUAAGUACCUCAUCAUUCGGUACUUGGGCGCUUCAUCAUGCGUACACCAUUGACCCAACACGAGAAGAGAUGGAAACUCAACUACCGAAAGAAAUUGAAUUAAUACUUUAUAGGAUUCGAUGUUUCACGAAGAAACUACAAGAGAAUGAAGAAAAACCGGCGCUGAAAAGAACUCGAAUGAUCUUCUCGUUGGAAUAGGUAUGUUUUGUGUUUUCUUUUUAUUUUUAUACCAUGUUUUUUUCCUAUUGUCCUUUUUUAUAAAAUAAUGUUGCUUAUUACUUUGCUGUGUGCUUAGACACUAGU